CACAUAUGUAGCUGGAUCUGAAAACAAGACAGAACCUUUUAAUCUUGAAUUGCCCUGGAUUAUGCUGUACACAUUGCCUGAGGCAGAGGAUGAUUGAUGAAGUGUCUUAAAUAAACCAGGAUGCUGCAUCAAACCAAAUAGGAAGACUACCUAAAAAUCCACAUGGAAACUAUGACGUGUGGGACAUUUAAGAUAUGUCUGGCAAGAGGACUCAAAACCAGGAAGGCAGUAGAAAUAAAG